rnacentral:rRNA from 1 species
GACGAACGCUGGCGGCGUGCUUAACACAUGCAAGUCGAGCGGUAAGGCCUCCUUUGGGGGGUACACGAGCGGCGAACGGGUGAGUAACACGUGGGUGACCUGCCUUCAGCUCUGGGAUAAGCCUGGGAAACUGGGUCUAAUACCGGAUAUCCACUGUUUGUUGCAUGACGGGUGGUGGAAAGUUUUUUCGGUCGUGGGGAGUGGGCCCGGCGGCCUAUCAGCUUGUUGGUGGGGUGAUGGCCACCAAGGCGACGACGGGUAG